AGCACCGAAUCCCGCGGCCGAUAUCGGACGCCGGGAAAUGUGGUGUUAGGGAGGAUCCGUUUAUCCCGAGAUUCGGCGGCGCGUCCAAGUCCUUCUUGAACGGGGCCACAGCCCAUAGAGGGUGCCAGGCCCGUAGCGACCGUUGCCGAUCGCGGGAGGAUCUCUCCUCAGAGUCGGGUUGCUUGAGAGUGCAGCCCUAAGCGGGUGGUAAACUCCAUCUAAGGCUAAAUAUGACCACGAGACCGAUAGCGAACAAGUACCGUGAGGGAAAGUUGAAAAGCACUUUGAAGAGAGAGUUCAAGAGUACGUGAAACCGUUCAGGGGUAAACCUGAGAAACCCGAAAGGUCGACGGGGGAAAUUCAUUCGCGUUUCGGCCGUCGGAGCGAGACGAUCGAGUGACGGAUGGCGUACGCGUCGUCCGCACCUUUCGUUUUGCCGUUCGACGUCGAACGCGUGCACUUUUCCCCUAGUAGGACGUCGCGAUCCGUUGGGCGUCGGUCUAAGGCUGUGUUGACGGUGGAGCCCGAGCGCGCGUCUUCGGACGUCUCGCGUUCGGACCCGUUCAUGUCCCGACCGACUCGCUCGACGGUAUACGGAUGGCGCGAGGCCGCUACAUCAGUUAGCGUUCGGCCCGUGGCAAGCGCGUCCGGUGUCGACGGCGAUCGGACCUGGUGCCGAUUCCGUCCCCGGACGACUGUUGGCCGCGGUGUUCUCGAACAGACCUCGUUUCGAAACGCCUAUCUGCGACGCUAUAGCUUUGGGUACUUUCAGGACCCGUCUUGAAACACGGACCAAGGAGUCUAGCAUGUGCGCGAGUCAUUGGGACAUAACUAAACCUAAAGGCGCAAUGAAAGUGAAAACGGUCCGUUUCGGCGGACCGAGGGAGGAUGGGCGGUUCGUUCGUUUCGUGCGACCGCCCCGCACUCCCGGGGCGUCUCGUUCUCAUCGCGAGAAGAGGCGCACCAAGAGCGUACACGCUGGGACCCGAAAGAUGGUGAACUAUGCCUGGUCAGGACGAAGUCAGGGGAAACCCUGAUGGAGGUCC
rnacentral:rRNA from 1 species